UACGAAGGGGGCUAGCGUUGCUCGGAAUUACUGGGCGUAAAGGGAGCGUAGGCGGACAGUUUAGUCAGAGGUGAAAGCCCAGGGCUCAACCCUGGAAUUGCCUUUGAUACUGAUUGUCUUGAGUAUGGGAGAGGUGAGUGGAACUCCGAGUGUAGAGGUGAAAUUCGUAGAUAUUCGGAGGAACACCAGUGGCGAAGGCGGCUCACUGGUCCAUUACUGACGCUGAGGUGCGAAAGCGUGGGGAGCAAACAGG
rnacentral:rRNA from 1 species